GCUGCUUCGCCCCCUACGCGCCUGUAAGCUGAAGGGGCUCCGCUCCUCGAACGCCGAUGGGAUUUUGAACUUCAUCUCAGCGCCGGAUAUCUUUCUAAAAUUAAGGCUGGGACGGCGGAUUACCUCUGCAGGUAUUCAUUAUACACAAGAUCCAGUCAUCAAGACUGCUUUCACUAGUUUUCAGAUGACAGAUGGAUUCCCUGGAGUUUCAGUAAAAACUUCUGACAGUUUCAACCUGAUGAAUGACAAGUGCCGCCACUAGUUGCCAUCCCUGCUGGAGGACUCCUGGAAAACUACGGUUUCUACUGGAAAUGCUUCUAAAUGGACAGAUAUGAAGUUUAACCUUAAAACAAGCAAACAAAAAACCCCACCAUCCACCUUCAGGCAUCUAUAUAAAACGUCUGAACCAGGUAUCAGUAUUCGGUGGAAAGCAUGAACCAUUGACUUAAGCUUUAUAUCAAGAGUUGUAAUUGUGCCAAUUAGAAUUUUACCCCAUUGUUUCUCUCUCAUGUGCUCACGCCUUAAGUUAAAACCUAUCAGGCUUUCAGCAUGAUUUCACAUUAAGAACUUAGAUCAGUUUUUGGCAUUUGGUAAACAGCAGUGCAGUCUCUCCAAUCAGAUGUUCUACAGGUCCUAAGGAUUUGCAGGGCAUUUUACUGAGAUUCAAGUAGUGUUAACAGAUCACAA